rnacentral:tRNA from 1 species
UUGGGGAUUUGGCUCAGUGGUAGAGCAUUUGCCUAGGAACCGCAAGGUCCUGGGUUCCGUCCCCAGCCCCCAAA